GGGAGGAUACAGCUCCAGUGUAGAGCGCAUGCUUGGCAUACACGAGGUCCUGGGUUCAAUUCCCAGUACUGCCA
rnacentral:tRNA from 1 species